rnacentral:rRNA from 1 species
CGCCUCUUGCUAACAAAGGAAGUACUAGAGGUCCCGCCUGCCCUGUGACCACAAAGUUUAACGGCCGCGGUAUCCUGACCGUGCGAAGGUAGCGUAAUCAUUUGUCUUUUAAAUAGAGACCUGUAUGAAUGGCAUAACGAGGGUUUAACUGUCUCCUUCCCCUAGUCAAUGAAAUUGAUCUGCCCGUGCAGAAGCGGACAUAAACACAUAAGACGAGAAGACCCUAUGGAGCUUUAGACAAAAGAUCAAACAUGUAAAGAAACCAAACCAACCAAAAGGAACACGAAGGCCACAAAACCCAACGUAAACUGAUCUAAAUGUCUUCGGUUGGGGCGACCAUGGGGGAAAGAAAAGCCCCCACGAGGAACAGGGACAACCCCUAAACUAAGAGAGACACCUCUAAGCAACAGAAAAUCUGACCAAAAUGACCCAGGAUACUAAUCCUGAUCAACGAACCAAGUUACCCUAGGGAUAACAGCGCAAUCCUUUCCCAG